ACAACCCAUCAGACGAGAGUAUAAAAGAAGAAAAUAUUCGAAGAGAAAUGGGAAGUAAGAGUAAGGGACGCAUGUGUGUAGUUGUAGGAAGCAACAACAGGCCUUCGGACACCGUUUCCGUCCAUGUUUUCCCGAAGGACAAGCGACAGAGAUCAGCAUAGACUCGAAUUGUGAGACUGACCGGUGCAGACUGGACAGGAUCGUCCCAGUAUACUGUUGUUUGUAGUGCGCAUUUCACGGACGGAUGUUUCCAGGCUCAGUUUUCACUGAUGAGAGAAUUUGUAAUUCCUGCAAAAAAAACCGCCUCUGCUCUGGUGCGAUUCUAUCGUUUUAUCCUAAGAGGAAAGUGGACGACCUCAACCUUGCCCUCCUCUCUUCGACCGAGCCUAAACCCAAACGCCAGGCUGCCGUCAAGCUGGAGAAAAAUAGGGUUGAUGAUUGCUGCUCUACAUUUUAAUGAGAAUUCCUCAAGGCUGCAUGACAUAACGAAGGAGGGGGGCCAACAAUUUAAAAUCAACUUCCAGAAGUUCAAGUGUUCGUAGGAAGCCUGUUGAUCCAACAAUUACCCAUCAGUCCUGAUGAAGGAGACUUAUUUGGUUUUUCAAGGGUCAUCAGAACCAUUACCAUGCUCAUUGCCAGCUCAACCACCUCCACUGUGCAGUGAAUUUUUCCAUCCUGAUAAAGAAGAAGCAGUGCUGCAUUUUACACCGAGGUUCAGUCGGAAGGAGACAUCCGUGUGAAUGUGAACAAAACGUAACACUAGCUAUUUGGACAUUCUAGCAAAGCAUAUAAAAAUAUGUUGGUCAUACAGAUGUACUCUAUUUUAAUCUUGUUUAAAAACGUUAAAUCAUUGUGAAACACUUUUAUCUUUGGUUUUGUUUAAAUUUGAACCAAAGUCAUAUAGAGUAGUAGGUUGUGAAAACAAAUUUUGCUAUUUUUCACAAAUAAAAAAAGACUGGGAACAACCAUGAUAUAGGGUCUGACCGUUGGGUAACAAUCUGUUUGGUCUUGCAUGCAACAGUGUAUUUUAAUUUGCAAAUAAUUUAUAGAAUGAAAUAUUAGCAUAGUAUAUGUAGUAUUAGCUUUAUAGUAUAUAUAAUAGUUGUAAGAAUUAAAAAAUGGGAACAUGAAAGCGGGGUCCUCGUCCCGUUCCUGGGUGUGGACACAUUUUAUUUGAAAUAUUGUUUGUAUAGCUGAUGCUUUCUAGAAAAUUGAUGUAUUAUUUUUGGGCCAUUUCUGUUAGAAUGUUGUGCUUGAAUUGUUUUGUAUGCAUCAUGUAUGAAUCGUACAUUUGUUUUAAAAAAAGUUGCUUCAACUAAAUCAUACCAUCACUCAGGUGCAUUGAAUCCUUGAUACUCCUCAGAGGCAAAGGAAUUCCGUCACAGCACAUGAGGGUAGAGGGACUCGCACCUUGUGCCCUAGGUAUCCUUAGCACCAUCAAACAAAAUGCCUGUGUGUUAUGUAUCUGUUACGCCUGUAAUUCCGGGAAAUGUUUGGAAUUAUUCACUACUGAUAAACUAGCAAUCGGACCCAAUGGUCAUGUGAAUUUUGUAUUGAUUAAAUCAAUAAAAAAAAUUGACUUGCUCUUCAA